GUUCUUGUAGUUGAGUACAACAGUAAUUUUUCAGAUUGCAGUCCUUGGAUAGUAGCCAAGCGAGAACU
rnacentral:tRNA from 1 species